CAGUAGCCACGGUAAUACGUAGGGUGCAAGCGUUAAUCGGAAUUACUGGGCGUAAAGCGUGCGCAGGCGGUUAUAUAAGUCAGAUGUGAAAUCCCCGGGCUCAACCUGGGAACUGCAUUUGAGACUGUAUGGCUAGAGUGUGUCAGAGGGGGGUAGAAUUCCACGUGUAGCAGUGAAAUGCGUAGAUAUGUGGAGGAAUACCGAUGGCGAAGGCAGCCCCCUGGGAUAACACUGACGCUCAUGCACGAAAGCGUAGGGAGCAAACAGGAUUAGAUACCCCUGUAGUCCCUGUCUCUUAUAC
rnacentral:rRNA from 1 species